CACAGAGUCAGUGAGCCGGAAGGCGCUGAGGAGCUCUCUGCCCGGACUCCCUACACCAAAGCCUGUGGGAGGCUCAUGGAGAUUGAAAAAGAAGGCACAGCCUUUGCCCAGGGCUCACAGUGACCCCAAGAAGAAGAGACAGGAAGCAAAGGGAUCCUUCACCUGUGUCUGCCUCCAAGGCUACUUCUCAUCUCACUUGAAACCACUGCCGCUCAAGACCUAUAGACAUCCCAUGUGCUGAACACCAUGAGCACAGUCCUGGCAGUGGCUGCUUUAAGAGUCCCAGGAUUGUAAUAAUGGCAGUGAUCAGAGGUUUGGGCUGGAGUCAGCUGUGAACUCAGAGUCACAAUGUUCCAAGCCUGCUUCUCAGGAGGACCUUAGACAGAAAAGCCUGCAUUAAAAGUCAAACUGCACCAAACGCCAA